rnacentral:rRNA from 1 species
GGAUGAACGCUAGCUACAGGCUUAACACAUGCAAGUCGAGGGGCAGCAUGGUCUUAGCUUGCUAAGGCCGAUGGCGACCGGCGCACGGGUGAGUAACGCGUAUCCAACCUGCCUUACACUCUUGGACAGCCUUCUGAAAGGGAGAUUAAUACAAGAUGUUAUCAUGAGUAAGCAUUUUCGCAUGAUUAAAGGUUUACCGGUGUAAGAUGGGGAUGCGUUCCAUUAGAUAGUAGGCGGGGUAACGGCCCACCUAGUCUUCGAUGGAUAGGGGUUCUGAGAGGAAGGUCCCCCACAUUGGAACUGAGACACGGUCCAAACUCCUACGGGAGGCAGCAGUGAGGAAUAUUGGUCAAUGGACGAGAGUCUGAACCAGCCAAGUAGCGUGAAGGAUGAAGGUUCUAUGGAUUGUAAACUUCUUUUAUACGGGAAUAAACGAAUCCACGUGUGGAUUUUUGCAUGUACCGUAUGAAUAAGGAUCGGCUAACUCCGUGCCAGCAGCCGCGGUAAUACGGAGGAUCCGAGCGUUAUCCGGAUUUAUUGGGUUUAAAGGGAGCGUAGAUGGGUUGUUAAGUCAGUUGUGAAAGUUUGCGGCUCAACCGUAAAAUUGCAAUUGAUGCUGGCAGUCUUGAGUACAGUUGAGGUAGGCGGAAUUCGUGGUGUAGCGGUGAAAUGCUUAGAUAUCACGAAGAACUCCGAUUGCGAAGGCAGCUUGCUAACCUGUAACUGACAUUGAUGCUCGAAAGUGUGGGUAUCAAACAGGAUUAGAUACCCUGGUAGUCCACACGGUAAACGAUGAAUACUCGCUGUAGGCGGUAUACAGUCUGCGGCCAAGCGAAAGCAUUAAGUAUUCCACCUGGGGAGUACGCCGGCAACGGUGAAACUCAAAGGAAUUGACGGGGGCCCGCACAAGCGGAGGAACAUGUGGUUUAAUUCGAUGAUACGCGAGGAACCUUACCCGGGCUUAAAUUGCAACCGAAUAUGGCGGAAACGCUAUAGCUAGCAAUAGCGGUUGUGAAGGUGCUGCAUGGUUGUCGUCAGCUCGUGCCGUGAGGUGUCGGCUUAAGUGCCAUAACGAGCGCAACCCUUGCCGAUAGUUACUAACAGGUCAUGCUGAGGACUCUGUCCGGACUGCCAUCGUAAGAUGUGAGGAAGGUGGGGAUGACGUCAAAUCAGCACGGCCCUUACGUCCGGGGCUACACACGUGUUACAAUGGGGGGUACAGAGGGCUGCUACCACGCAAGUGGAUGCCAAUCCCAAAAACCUCUCUCAGUUCGGAUUGAAGUCUGCAACCCGACUUCAUGAAGCUGGAUUCGCUAGUAAUCGCGCAUCAGCCACGGCGCGGUGAAUACGUUCCCGGGCCUUGUACACACCGCCCGUCAAGCCAUGGGAGCCGGGGGUACCUGAAGUGCGUAACCGCAAGGAGCGCCCUAGGGUAAAACUGGUGACUGGGGCUAAG